rnacentral:lncRNA from 1 species
CUUUCCCACCCUGUCAUUCACGAAAAAGGAGGAAAGAAAAGGAGAAGCGUACACGUUUCCCUCAUCGGUCCUCUCUUAUAAUCACCUACCAAAAACUUCUUCUUUACACACACAAAUUCCCACUCCUUCUCUUCUUCACACCACGAUCCCGCCGACGACUGCGAACACAAAUCGGAAAACCCUUUCGUCAACAACCUCAACACCGUCAACCGCCGCACACUUCACGGCCGCUCAAACCCUCUCCGUAUUCCGGCGACCACCACAAAACCCUCCACCGCAUCGACACAACCUUCACCAAAGUGCCUUCCGUCUUCCGAACCACCGACCAAAUUCCAUCCAUUGCCGGUGAAAUCGUCCGCCGCCGCGACACACAU